rnacentral:rRNA from 1 species
UACGUAGGUGGCAAGCGUUAUCCGGAUUUAUUGGGCGUAAAGGGAACGCAGGCGGUCUUUUAAGUCUGAUGUGAAAGCCUUCGGCUUAACCGGAGUAGUGCAUUGGAAACUGGGAGACUUGAGUGCAGAAGAGGAGAGUGGAACUCCAUGUGUAGCGGUGAAAUGCGUAGAUAUAUGGAAGAACAACAGUGGCGAAAGCGGCUCUCUGGUCUGUAACUGACGCUGAGGUUCGAAAGCGUGGGUAGCAAACAGG